rnacentral:lncRNA from 10 species
UUUCUUGCUAAAUUGGAAUGCAAACGAUUUUAGUUGCUAAAGAUGAGGAAAUUAAAAUAUUUUAAAAAGAACAUGAGCCACCACACCUGGCCCAAAAUCAUAUAUUGAAGCUUUACCCCCCAGUACCUCAGAAUAUGACUAUAUUUGAUGAUAGGGGCUUGAGAGAGGUGAUGAAGUUAAUCAUGUCUUUGAUCUUGGAUUUCCAGCCUGCAGAACUGUGAGAAAAUAAAUUUCUGUUAUUUAAGCCAGCUAGUCUGUGGUAUUUUGUUAUGUCAGGCCUAGCAAACUAAUAGAUGCCCCAAAGUGACAAUUCUGGAAACAUUAGACUGGUCAAUUUACAGCGGAUUAAAGUGUACACCAAGUGUCAGUUUAAUAAUUUACAUUGGGAUUACAUUGGGAUUAUUUACUGGGAUUCCAGGCGUGAGCCACUGCACUUGGCCCAAAAUUUAUAGGCUGGAUGUUCUAAAACUGUUAUGUUGCUACUCUUUCUGAAAAAUAUAUCUGUUUAGUGGUAGAAGGCUAAAAUUUCUUUGCUGUUUAACUUGAAGCUAAUUUGUUCUCUUUCAAGACACAUUUUAUUAAAGGAAAGUGAAGAGAAGAA